AGCGCGGCCAGUGAGCGCUGGGCGCCACAGACGCAGACCAGAGGUCGCUGGCGGAGCCGCUGUUCAGUGGUGGGCUGCGCCGUGCCGCUCACCCGGAGGUGCGCAGCAGCUGCUGGGAGUCUGCGCCGGACUCCAUGGGGAACAUCGAGAGUGCGGACGGCCGGUCCGACACCAGGCAUCACGGCGUGCCUCUCAAGGUGCCGAUGCCGGAGCCGGCCGAACUGGAGGAGAAGUUCGCCGACGUCCUGAACUCCAUGAACCUCCCUCCCGACAAGGCUCGCCUCCUCCGCCAGUAUGACAACGAGAAGAAGUGGGACCUGAUCUGUGACCAGGAGAGAUUCCAGGUGAAGAAUCCUCCGCACACAUACAUCCAGAAGAUCCGGGGCUACCUGGACCCGGGCGUCACGCGGAAGAAGUUCCGCCGGAGAGUUGAGGAGUCCACCAAGGUCCUGCGGGAGCUGGAGAUCUCUCUGAGGACCAACCACAUCGGGUGGGUGAGGGAGUUCAUCAACGAUGAGAACCGAGGCCUGGACGUGCUGGUGGAGUACCUCUCCUUCGCCCAGUUCGCUGUCAUGUUUGACUUUGAGGGCUGGCAGAAUGGCAAGGACAGCUACCUGGAAAAGGCCACGGCCUGGAGCAGCUCCAUGGAGGACCUGCAUGGCACGGCCACUCUGCUCCGCUCCGCUCUGCGCCCUGCGCGCCGCCACGGCUCCGUCUCCGGCAACAGAUCCAUCAAGAACUCACGGCUGGUGGGCCAGAAGGAGGACGUGCACGUGUGCAUCAUGUGCCUGCGGGCCAUCAUGAACUACCAGUACGGCUUCAACAUGGUCAUGUCUCACGCCCACGCCGUCAACCAGAUCGCCCUCAGCCUCAACAACAGGAGCCCUCGGACCAAAGCUCUGGUGCUGGAGCUGCUGGCGGCCGUCUGCCUGGUGCGAGGCGGACACGAGAUCAUCCUGUCUGCCUUCGACAACUUCAAGGAGGUGUGUCAGGAGAAGCGUCGCUUCGAUAGGCUGAUGGAUUAUUUCUGCAGUGAGGAGGGAAACAUCGACUUCAUGGUGGCAUGCAUGCAGUUCAUCAACAUCGUGGUCCACUCAGUGGAGGACAUGAACUUCAGAGUCCACCUGCAGUACGAGUUCACCAAGCUGGGUCUGGACGACUACCUGGAGAAAUGCAAACACACCGAGAGCGACAAGCUGUCGGUGCAGAUCCAGGCCUACCUGGACAACGUGUUUGAUGUGGGGGGUCUGCUGGAGGACGCCGAGACCAAGAACGCGGCGCUGGAGAAGGUGGACGAGCUGGAGGAGCACCUGUCCCACGUGACUGAGAAGCUGCUGGAGGUGGAGAACGAGACCAUCAUGAAGGUCGCUGAUCUGGAGAAGCUGCUGCUUCAGAAGGACAAAGAUCUUCAGAUCAUCAGGGACACGUACGAGUCGACGAGCGUGCAGGUGACCACCCUGCGGCGGAUGAUCAAGGAGAAGGACGCCGCCUUCCAGCGCCACUUCAACAUCGAGAGACGUCUGCUGGAGCUGGAGCAGCAGGGAACCAUCCGCCUCACCAAGAAGGCGGACGGAGACAUCGCCAUAGAGCCGCUAGCCGGGGCCCCUCUGGGGGACCUCGGUCAGCUGCCUGGAGUCCCGCUGGCGCCACCAGCCGGGCACGACCCGGGUUCACCUUUGGCCUCUGAAGUACCGCCCCCUCUCCCACUGCCCCCGCCUCCUCCGCCCCUGCCCCCAGCUUCAGGUCUGGGUGCGGCGGCUCCGCCCCCUCCCCUGGCUCCCCCACUGCCAGGCGCGUCUCCCUCCCUCGUCCUGAGCGUGGGACUCUCAGCCAUCCGAAUCAAGAGACCCAUCAAGACCAAGUUCCGGCUGCCAGUCUUCAACUGGACGGCGCUGAAGCCCAAUCAGAUCAACGGAACCGUGUUCAACGAGAUCGACGACGAGCGCGUGCUGGAGGAGCUGGACCUGGAGAAGUUCGAGGAGAUGUUCAAGACCCGGGCUCAGGGUCCAGUGGUGGACCUGUCCUGCACCAAGAGCAAAGUGGCGCAGAAGGUGGUGAACAAGGUCACGCUGCUGGACCCCAACCGCUCCAAGAACCUGGCCAUCACGCUGAGGAAGGCCAGCAAGAGCUCGGAGGAGAUCUGCAGGGCCAUCGAGAAGUUCGACCUGAAGGCCUUGCCCGUGGACUUCAUGGAGUGUCUGAUGCGCUUCCUGCCCACGGAGGCCGAGGUGAAGGUGUUGCGUCAGUACGAGCGCGAGCGGCGCCCGCUGGACCAGCUGGUGGAGGAGGACCGCUUCAUGUUGCUCUUCAGUAAGAUCGAGAGACUCACCCAGAGGAUGAACAUCAUCACCUUCGUGGGGAACUUCGCGGACAACGUCAACAUGCUCAUGCCGCAGCUCAACGCCGUCAUCGCCGCGUCCGUGUCCGUCAAGUCCUCGCCCAAGCUGAAGAGGAUGCUGGAGAUCAUUCUGGCCCUGGGGAACUACAUGAACAGCAGCAAGCGAGGCUGCGUGUACGGCUUCAAGCUCCAGAGCCUGGACCUGCUGCUGGACACCAAGUCCACCGACAGGAAGAUGACUCUGCUCAACUACAUCGCCCUGAUUGUGAAGGAGAAGUACCCGGAGCUGACCAACUUCCACCUGGAGCUGCACUUUGUGGAGAAGGCUGCGGCAGUGUCGCUGGAGAACGUGCUGACGGACGUGCGGGAGCUGGCCAAGGGCAUGGAGCUGAUCCGCCGCGAGUGCAGCCUGCACGAGCACGCCGUGCUCAAGGCCUUCGUCCAGUCCAGUCAGGCCCAGCUGGAGCGGCUGCAGAAGGACGCCAGGACCGCAGAGGAAGCCUUCAACAGCGUGCUCAACUACUUUGGGGAAAGCGCCAAGACGACGCCGCCGUCCGUCUUCUUCCCCGUCUUCGUCCGCUUCGUCAAGUCCUACAAGGAGGCGGUGGAGGAGAACGAGCAGGCCAAGAAGCAGGAGCAGCUGAUGAGGGAGAAGCUGCUGGCUCAGGAGGCCAAGCAACUGGAGCCCAAGGUGCAGGCGCAGAAGAAGAGGCAGCAGCAGCAGCAGCACGAGCUGAUCGCAGAGCUGCGGCGGCGCCAGGCCAAAGACCACCGACCCGUCUACGAGGGCAAAGACGGAACCAUCGAAGACAUCAUCACAGUGCUGAAGAGCGUGCCCUUCACCGCCCGCACUGCUAAACGCAGCUCGCGCUUCUUCUGCGACGCCCACCUCUGUGACGACGCCAGCUGCUAGCUCCCUCUUAACGCCAAGCGGGGAUGAAGAGUCUGGACAGUCAGGUCUCCUCCGUUCAGCGAGGAUCUGAGGAGUCAGCCUUUCCUGCGAGCUGACGCGCUGAUGCGGAGCGGCUGGAAGAGACCCUGAACCACCUGAACCUGAGGCUGCAGAGGGCAGGACAGCGCCCCCUUGUGUUGGCCGGCUAAUUUAUUUAUUUAUGGGGGCCCAGUCCCACUCUGGAGCUGCAGGAGGACUCCAACGGACCACAGAGGGCACCGUAGACUGAGAGGCCUUCACAUAAGGAAGAGGUGAAGUGGGGGGGAGCUUCUGCUGCCACGUUUGUCCGUGUUCUCUUUCCUCUCUUGUGCCGCUGCCAAACAGUGACCCUCGUACUUCCAGCCGCCCGCAACUUCCUCGUCCACAUCUACCGCUGCGACGCAGGGAGCUGAGCGGAGGUGGUCACGUGAUCGCGGCUCAGAGCUCUGACUCUGACACACAACCUGAUGGCGUGGGGGGGCUCACUAUUUGGCUCUGAAGCGUGCCUUUGUCUGCUGUGGAAGUGUGGUGGAGACGUCGUCCCGACUCUUGAGUCUUCACUGGAACCGAAUGUCCAAGGGUCAAUGCGUGACCUUUGACCAGACUGUGUCGGCUCCCGAGAGUCAAGGGACCUUCCUUUUGCUUUUAUACCUUUGUACAAGCCAGACGUGCACUGGACGCAUCGUUCCUGCCUGGGAGGGUGUCGAUUAAAGUCAGAUGUCACGUCAGUUGCUACUUUCACGCUCCUUUUACUGAAGACAUGGGAUGAAAAAGUGAAACGCCGACGCCCUUCAGUUACUCUGUUCAGCAGGGUGGCUUCAUUCUUGGUCACCCGGCGCCCUCCAGUGGGUGUUGCGACGAUCUUCGACCAUUUCCGACCGCGAACAGGCUCGACGGUGUCCGCGUGUGCGUUUGGUCACGUGACAGACUGGCAGGUGCAGUUCCAAGUCAUCUGUGACCCCUGUGACCUCCACCCGGGCCAGUCGCCAACGUUCUGUGAGUGAAGCCUCUUGUUCCAGUUGGAAUAUCGCAAGUGAUUCUCCGACGUCUGCAGAACUACACUGACUACUUCCAUUUCAUUUCAAGUCUCUCCAGCUAAAUCUUUAAGUGGUGAACACCUUGGCCACAGAACUCUGGGUGAACCAUGUGAAGAGGUGAAAAGGCACUUCAUUACAAGGUAUUACCUUUCAUGUACACGUAACACCGGACUUCCGACCGGGAUCGGAUCGGACAUGGUCGAAUGAAUGAAUUCAAACUAGCCGGCGCGAGGGUUACAGGUGCUACUGUAGCGGUGGAUGGCUGUGUGAGAGUGAGGUGCUGUCGCACACGUGGCCAGAUAUUGGAUGGAAAAAAUCUGCUUCUGAAUGUGAAAGAAAAACUGAAAAAAAGAAGUGUGAGAAUUCCAAUGUUAAUUUGACUCUGCUCUCAUGAGGGCCAUGAAUACAGGUGCUAGGUGUUGUUGGCUUCACAACAAUCACGAUCAAUAAGCUUGUUUGAAAAUCUUAAUUCCAUUCUAUUACUUCCGGUGGGCUGCGAGGCAUUUUAAACUUCACAUCAAGUGGGGAAACUGGCCUCUGAAAAGUGGAGAUCUGGUGUCUGUGGCGUGGAUGUUCUGACGCUUGUAGCUGUGCAGGGGAACUGGCUGCCCCCAGGAAGAUCCUGCACGGUUUCAUGCAGAAAGGCAACCAACGUGAACAAGAACUGCAACUUUAUUGAGGGUAAGAAGAGCUGAGAGGUUCAGGGGCAGACAUUUGCAGGAAAGCGACUGGAGCAUUGAAAGAAUGAGGCAGUUGAACAUGGUUUGAGGUAAAAGUGUUUUGUCAUUCACCAAAGAUCCCCACGCCUGCCCUGAUCACCUGACCAUUGGCUUUUGAAGUGCGGUCUGCCAAUCAACGUGUGAAAGUAUGACGCGGCGAGGACAAUGGACGCUCGCACUCAAGCCACUGCACUGUAGCGAUAAGGUACCCAGGUGCUGCGGAGAAGCAGGAGGUCACAUUCACGUGAGAAGAUUUUGGACUACAGCUGAGUCAAUGACACGCAGGAAGCAAAGGAACCAGCACGAGAAGUAGCCUCAGAGAAGUGCUGCGUCCACCCGUGUGGCCAGAAGAUGCAAACUGGUCAAGAGCAAAAUCACAAAAAUACAACAACAAAUAUCCAACAUUCAGUCCGACCUCGCAGCGAGGAGCAGCAUGGGAGUUGGUUGUUGGUUGGGUUUGGAGCGCUGCGCUCACUCUAGCAUCUGGAGCUCCAGACUGGCCCAGUGGCCCGGGCUUUAGCCUUUCCGCCGUCUUCCCGCCCACAUGUCUCCCAGGGCUUGUGAGAAGUGACCAUCAAAGUCUUGUUCAGUGCACCCACACAGGGCUGCAGCUCGGGGAACUGGACUGGUGCAGGUGAGCAGAGGGUGCGGUCCAAGCCCCGCUCCAUGAGGCACCACCAGCGCAGGUUCGGGCGUCUCAUCGCCCGCUGGUGUAAACGUGUGGUCCUGCAGCAGUGUUAAGGCAAUCCGACAGAAGCUCCUCCCACACUCCCGAGGCACAAGUGCGUGUAGUGCUGACCCGACUCACCGAAGCAGGACCGUGUAAACGAGCAUUUCAAACUGAGAGAACCCUGGUCCGUCAGGCGAAAUGCGCCACUGACUUCUCCGCCGAGGCAGAACCGUGACGCCGGGUGAAGAUGCUCCUGCUCUUCAUCUCCCUCCUCCUCUUCCUCCGCACUGAAGGCACUUUGGGGCGAAGCUGUGUUUCGCAGACCAACUGGGCUGGCUUUCGCUCAUCACAGCCGCUUCAUCAGUGACACGACUAGAGAAGGGCUCGCCGCUGGCCUGGGACUGACGCCAGAGCUCAGCCCACCAGGUGCUCGCCGCGGCAGAUGUGCGAGGAAAACUGGUAGCGGUCCUGGCUGCGGUGGCCGCAGAUGUUGCACUCGAAGGGCUGUCGGUAACCAUGGCAACCCAUGUGGAUGGUGAACAUGACGUGAUCCAGAAAGAGGAUGCGGCAGUGGCGGCAGUGGAAGGAGCGAAGCGCCUGGCCGUCGGCGUCUAACACCUGAACCGCCUCCCGGGAGGUCCUCCUCACCAUCGCUGCGGGAGCCGGGCAGGCUCUGGCCCAGUCAGGGUCCAGGUCCUUGGUCUGGAGGGGGCUGGAAGUGGAAUGGUUUCCGGAGGGCGCCGGGGCUCGAAGGCGGAGGUGCUGGUUGUUUGAGGUACUGGUUGGGACCGUAGCCCUUGUGCUCUGCUCCUCGGGCGCGCUCUCUGUGUCGGUGGAGUCUGGACAUCCGUUGGGUGAGGGGUCAUCCCGGCCCUCGGCCAGCUCAAGUCCGCCAUGAGGAGGACCUUGAAGGGAGGAGUUGCUGACGAAGGUGGGAUGCAGCUGACCUCUGGAGCCCGGCAAGUGUCUGGCCACCAGCCCUGUCCAGUCCCCGGACUCCGGCUCCUUCUCCGAGCCAGACGACAGCUCAUAAGGUGCUUCAGGUGUGUCCAAGUCCAUCUGCUUCUCAGCUGCGGGCACACAAAGACAGGGCAGAGGGGGCACUGGAGAGGCAGAGAACAAGCAAUGACUCACCAGAAAACUUCUGUGGUGUGGAGCGCUUUCGUUUGGUGAGGCUGAGGC